CAAAUAUUGGUCAGGGGUAAACGUAAUAAAAGACAGCAUUUGAAGUUGAAGCUUUACAUCAUGUAUGUACAUAGGCCUAUGUACGAAAGCAGUUGAGGAGGGAAUACGAGGAGAAAGCGGCCGCGGAGGCCAGACAGAGGGAGGAGGCCGAAUGGCAGUCCAGAUGGCAGGACGAAUGGGUAGCAGACAUGGUGGGGAUGUGUGGCCACACCCCCUGGGAGGACACAGGUUACACCAGUCAGAAUCUGGAAUUGCUUGAUGACUGGGCCACCAGGAUAGCUGCAGAGCACAGACAGACACAGCAGCAGCGAUACCAGGGUGCUCAGCCAACACGGAGAAGUGCAACUUCCAAAGGACACUGGAAGAGGAACAGGAAAUUGAACGAAAUGUUUGGAUGUGUGGUCCAGGAUACCAGUGAGGCAGAGCACCAGUGAGACAUCAUCGAAUGCCGCUGGAUAAAAAGGCAAUGGGAAUGCUAUCGGAAUGGAGGUCAUGUGUGGAGAUCGCUUUUAUUCAGCAUGUUUUAUCAAAAUUCCAUCAUUUGGGUUUUCCUUCACCAGGCCUUCGAGUCAGCUGUUUGGUCCAUGUUGAUACCUAGAUGGAUGCACGAUGCGUCCAACAGCUUUGUACGUCACUUGGCAAGACGGGACUCCAACCACGGCUUAUGCUGAAAGAAGAGGGAAAAAAAUACAAUUUUGGCAGUAACAUUUGACUAAAAUGUAUCCAAACUCGGAUUUGUUAGCAUUCUUUGAACACUGAACAAAUUAGUUCGAGCUAAGAGUCAACAUUUGAUUUCUGCCAGAUAUGUUAUUUCUUGGCGUGUUUAAGAAUAUAGCACUUGUACAAGAAAAUGUUUGCAACCAUAGCGAUGAUUUCUUCUGGCCGGAGUGUGGAAUUUUAAAAAAUAAAAAGUGGUAAAAAAGA